rnacentral:rRNA from 1 species
GACGAACGCUGGCGGCGUGCUUAACACAUGCAAGUCGAACGGAAAGGCCCUGCUUUUGCGGGGUGCUCGAGUGGCGAACGGGUGAGUAACACGUGAGUAACCUGCCCUUGACUUUGGGAUAACUUCAGGAAACUGGGGCUAAUACCGGAUAGGAGCUCCUGCUGCAUGGUGGGGGUUGGAAAGUUUCGGCGGUUGGGGAUGGACUCGCGGCUUAUCAGCUUGUUGGUGGGGUAGUGGCUUACCAAGGCUUUGACGGGUAGCCGGCCUGAGAGGGUGACCGGCCACAUGGGGACUGAGAUACGGACCAGACUCCUACGGGAGGCAGCAGUGGGGAAUAUUGCACAAUGGGCGGAAGCCUGAUGCAGCAACGCCGCGUGCGGGAUGACGGCCUUCGGGUUGUAAACCGCUUUCGCCUGUGACGAAGCGUGAGUGACGGUAAUGGGUAAAGAAGCACCGGCUAACUACGUG